GACGAACGCUGGCGGCGUGCUUAACACAUGCAAGUCGAACGGAAAGGCCCUGCUUUUGUGGGGUGCUCGAGUGGCGAACGUGUGAGUAACACGUGAGUAACCUGCCCUUGACUUUGGGAUAACUUCAGGAAACUGGGGCUAAUACCGGAUAGGAGCUCCUGCUGCAUGGUGGGGGUUGGAGAGUUUCGGCGGUUGGGGAUGGACUCGCGGCUUAUCAGCUUGUUGGUGGGGUAGUGGCUUACCAAGGCUUUGACGGGUAGCCGGCCUGAGAGGGUGACCGGCCACAUUGGGACUGGGAUACGGCCCAGACUCCUCGGGGAGGCAGCAGUGGGGAAUAUUGCACAAUGGGCGGAAGCCGGAUGAAGCAACGCCGCGUGCGGGAUGCCGGCCUUCGGGUUGUAAACCGCUUUCGCCUGUGACGAAGCGUGAGUGACGGUAAUGGGUAAAGAAGCACCGGCCAACUACGUG
rnacentral:rRNA from 1 species